rnacentral:rRNA from 1 species
CGGGACGGGGUGGAGUAAUGUCUGGGAAACGUGCCUGAUGGAGGGGGGUAACUACUGGAAACGGUAGCUAAUACCGCAUAACGUCGCAAGACCAAAGAGGGGGACCUUCGGGGCCUCUUGCCAUCGGAUGUGCCCAGAUGGGAUUAGCUAGUAGGUGGGGUAACGGCUCACCUAGGCGACGAUCCCUAGCUGGUCUGAGAGGAUGACCAGCCACACUGGAACUGAGACACGGUCCAG